rnacentral:sRNA from 1 species
AAAGUUAAAAAGCAGGUUCCCCCAAGUGUUUAUUCCGACUGUCAAGAUGAACACAGCAAUGACGUUCAUGGCAAGUCCUGCUGAGGCCUGAAAAAAAUCCGAGAGAUAGUUCAUAGACUUAACACCAACAGUUACAAAAUGGUAAGCCUCUACUCGAACUUUAAACUAUUGGGACAUUUUUUAAACUUCUGAAUUUUGUAGACAUUUUGUUUUAAAUAUAUUGAUUUUCUGUAGAAUUUUUAAUAAUGAAUAUGUUCAUAUUCCUAAGAACAACUAAAUUAUUUAAUUCUUACGUUGGAGUUGAUAUACAUGUACAUGUGACUUGUUGCGGUAACAUAAUUCUAUCUAGUUACGAUUUGAUUACAUACCAUGUCGGGAAUGGACAGAUAUCCAUGGGCAAACACAAUGGCACUUGGAGGAGUCGCCACGGGCAACAUGAAGGCAAACGAGCACGCCACCGCGGCCGCCAUCAUCAAUGACUUCUGUGACGGAUGCAACCACCAAACUAACCACCAAGCACAUCACGAAUGGAUUGUAACUGGCGAAGAACUCAAGGCUGUCUCCAAACCAUUUUGACAGGCCAGAACGCUACAGUGACAGGACAAAAUGAGCUGGCGUAUUUGCUAAAUAGAAACUACUUUAUAGAAGCGUCACAAUUACCGGAAAAUUAACAAUGCUGAAAAAAGUUGAUUGAUUAAAAUGAUUUAAGCAUAACCUGAAUCACAUGAGAUCUAUAUCAUACCCCACUGGCCUGAGCGAGUGCGAACCCACCCCCAAGCAGGACGAUCACUCCCCACGGGACUUUCUCGGCCGUUUUCUCCCAGAGCAAAAGAACUCACCUUUUUGGAAAGAAAUCUCCCCAACCUUUGAUAUUAGGCGGAUCUCGGAAAAUCCACAAGAAUGCCAGACUUAUAAACAGAAUGGAAAUCAGGCACUCCGCGAACCUAGAACAAGUUAUAUCACUGUAUGACUAAAGUUGUGAUUAUAUAAAUUCAAUAAGAAUUCUACCCAAGAAUGUCAUGAUCAAUUGUGGAAAACGGUAAGCAAUCUGAAUCAAAGCAUGCGUUUUUUACUCUCAAAAAUAAGUAAUCAAUUAAGGCAGAUAUGGUUUUAUCUCCAAAGAGUCAAGACGUAUAAAUUUAUACAUUUCCAUUUCUUGUCAUAUAUUAUUAUGAUGCAUUUUCAAAGGAACUAUUAUAUUCAUUUCAUACAUAACAGCAUAUAUACACUUCCUUUAAUGAUGGCUUAUUUGCAAAUAAAUUAGUUUGUAACAUUGAU